rnacentral:rRNA from 1 species
CUGUACGACUCUCGGCAACGGAUAUCUAGGCUCUCGCAUCGAUGAAGAACGUAGCGAAAUGCGAUACAUGGUGUGAAUUGCAGAAUCCCGUGAACCAUCGAGUCUUUGAACGCAAGUUGCGCCCGAGGCCAUCCGGUCGAGGGCACGCCUGCCUGGGCGUCACGCGUCGUAUCGCUCCGCAAAC